ensembl:lncRNA
CUUGUGGCUCAUCUAAUCAAAAUUUAGAGAACUUUGUAUUUUAGAAUCUGCAUUUGAGUUCUAUUAUUGUUGCACUGAACUUUAGAGCAAAACCUACUGGUUUCACAUUAUUUUCAAAACUCUUUGUCAAAUGCCAGGCUUUGACAUUUGGUAUUUGCAUUAAAUAUGCGUUGUGGUUUUUCUGCACCCACAGGGUCCCGGGGUCUCUUCCUGAUUGGACUGGACUUUACGGCUGCUGGGACUUUUGCUUAAAACUCUUAACAAACAGAGCUGCCUGGCUCAGGGCUGGCCCCCAGCUGGACGCUCUAGACUGGUCCUCGGGGACACAGAAGGACUCUGUUCGAAUCCGUAUCGAUCCGUGAUGCUGAUGAAAGAACCCACUGGUCACCUUGAGCCCUGUGUAUCCCGCGGCAACACUGCAGCCCACCCGUGUCACUUUAGUCAGACCAUGAGGCUCCGGGGCACGAGAGGAAAAAGCAGAUGCAUUGUCAGAAGAGGCACAAAAUGCAACAAAUCCCCCCUCACUGCUAACCGUGAUCUUCCUGACACUCUGAGACAGGCGGCCCAGCUGGGACUCUACCCAGGAUCGCGUCUCUUUCAUGGGCAAACGCUGUUUCACCUGCUCCCCCUCCCAUCACAAAUCCCACAAUCCUCCCCCCGUCUCCCCAGCCCCUCCAACCGUCCCAGCUGAGCUUUGCUAAUCAGUAUAGCGACGAGAGACAAGACUUGGUUAAUUCGGCCAAUUAGGCCCGAGCGUUGUUUGUGGCCAGCGACAUUUUGUAUUCGUGAAAAUGUGUGGAGUGCAAAACGUGCCCUGGAGCAACGAGAUGAUAGUGCCGUGGCUACAGCCACAUGUCAACAAAACACAUACAGGCUGAAGGGGCGAUCCUGCUUUAUGGAGUGUGUGUGUGUGUGUGUGUGUGUGUGUGUGAGAGAGAGAGACAGAGAGUACACUUGAAUACAUGCAUGUGCUUUCAGAGUGGAUUGUGAUUUUUACAAUAUAAACUAUCUGUAAAAAGUUUGGAAUAAUUUGUUUUAUAUAUAUAUAUAUAUAUAUAU